UGCAUGUCUAAGUACAUGCCGUAUUAAGGCGAAACCGCGAAUGGCUCAUUAAAUCAGUUAUGGUUCCUUGGAUCGUACCUUACUACUUGGAUAACUGUGGCAAUUCUAGAGCUAAUACAUGCAGCAGAGCUCCGACCUUCGGGGACGAGCGCUUUUAUUAGACCAAAACCAAUCGGACCUCGCGUCCGUUUCUGGUGGUGACUCUGUAUAACUUUGGGCUGAUCGCACGGGCCUGUCCCGGCGACGUAUCUUUCAAGUGUCUGCCUUAUCAACUUUCGAUGGUAGGUUACGCGCCUACCAUGGUCGUAACGGGUAACGGGGAAUCAGGGUUCGAUUCCGGAGAGGGAGCCUGAGAAACGGCUACCACAUCCAAGGAAGGCAGCAGGCGCGCAAAUUACCCACUCCCGGAACGGGGAGGUAGUGACGAAAAAUAACAAUACGGGACUCUUUUGAGACCCCGUAAUUGGAAUGAGUACACUCUAAAUCCUUUAACGAGGAUCUAUUGGAGGGCAAGUCUAGUGCCAGCAGCCGCGGUAAUUCUAGCUCCAAUAGCGUAUAUUAAAGUUGUUGCGGUUAAAAAGCUCGUAGUUGGAUCUCAGUUCCAGACGGGUGGUCCGCCUACCGGUGGUUACUGCCUGUUCUGAACAGCCAGCCGGUUUCUCUUGAUGAUCUUCACCGGUUGUCUUGGGUGACCGGCAAGUUUACUUUGAAAAAAUUAGAGUGCUCAAAGCAGGCGUGACGCCUGAAUAAUGGUGCAUGGAAUAAUGGAAUAGGACCUCGGUUCUAUUUUGUUGGUUUUCGGAACACGAGGUAAUGAUUAAGAGGGACAGACGGGGGCAUUCGUAUUGCGACGCUAGAGGUGAAA
rnacentral:rRNA from 1 species